CGCAGCCAUUUUUGUUUACGGCGUGUUGCACGUACAGGUUCAAUCCUUCAUUGCACUCCUGAAGGCUGCUGUUAAUCCUGUUUUCUGAUUGUUAGCAGACCUACAAUCACCCAUACUCUCUAAACAACCACCUGAGAGAUCACCAUAAGACUCCUGCAGAGUUCCAGCCUGUCCUGGAUUUCACCUGUGGUGACUGAGUUUGUUGUUUAAAAACUAUAAACCAACAUGAAGACCAGGGAGCUGACUAUGAAAGAAAAGAAAGACAUUUUGAAGCUGAAAGAAAAGGGAAAAACAAUCAGAGCCAUUUCACAGGAAUUAGGCAUAGCCAAUACAACAGUCUGGAACGUCCUGAAAAAGUAUGAAACCACCGGCCUACUAACAACCAGACACCGAACAGGUCGACCAAGGAAAACUUCAGCAGUUGAUGACCGAAACAUUGUCAGAGCUGUGAAGAAAAACCCACAAACAACAGUCAGUAGCAUCACCAACAACCUCAUGAGGGCGGGAGUGAACGUUUCACAAUCCACUGUUCGGAGAAGACUCCGGGAGCAGAAAUAUCGAUUCCAUUACAUAAGCUGCGAGCCACCUGUCGGCAGCAAGAAACGGAAGGAUGGAUUUAAAGUGACAAAUAAUACAGAGAUAAGGGAUGAGGAUUUAAAAGAAGAGCAGUUUGAAUUGUGGCAGAAGACAGAAUGCGUCUAUAAUGUCUCAACAGACUAAGGUCUCAACAAACAGAGUAUAAUGGCAGGACAGAAAGGGCCGCAGAGCGGAAAGACUCAAAGGAUAAAUCCAAACUUCCAAGUGCAUAGCUGUCUAACGUGCACACGAGCGCUGUGUACAUCAUGAAACUGUUUUCAUGCUGGCUGAACAUAGCUUUCUUAUCGCUGUAAUCCAACACGAAUGACGUAUUCACCUCACGGGCCGUUACAGUAUUCUUACUGAGAUUAUUGUACAGGUCUGCUGGAACUGCACAGCUUUGUGCAUAAAAAUAGUAAUCUGUUAGCUAGUGUGGUGCAUAAAGCUUAGUUUGUGGAGAUAAUAAUGAACAUUUAAUAAAAUGUUAAACGGUGUGAUGUUA